CGCGGGGUCAGGGAAGACCAGAGGACCACUAGCCCCAGGAAGCUUCCCACCACUAGCAAACUGCGUGGUGAAUUUGUAACCGAAAGGCCCAGGUGAGAUGUGCAAAUAUCACUGGAUUGGAGGAGCUCACUUGGAAAGCCAGUAUUCCUCCUGAGCUAAUGAAAAGAAAGGCUGUCGUCUUAUGCCAAAAGCAAUACCAACCUUGUUCACGGGCUGAGAUCUAGAGUGUGUAAUUCACGAAGUAUGAAUCUGCUGGGUAAUGUGAUAUGAAAAGCGAAUGCACCAUUUCUUGGUGAUGAUUCAGGUCAGCGUUGGGACCCAGGAAUCUCCUGUUAAUCAGUACCCUGGUGAUUUUGAUCCAGAGACAGUGUCUAUUAUCUGGUCCUGUUGUCAAGGCUGGUCUCAAACUCCUGGCCUCCAGCGAUCCUCCCUUUUUGGCCUCCCAAGAUGCUGGUAUUACAGGCAUGAGCCACCAUGGUCCACCUGGACUCCUUUUCAUAGGAGACAGUUCCCUAGGUGGAGACUGGGCUUGAAACAGGUAACUUACAAGGCAUCUUGUGAUCAUAAGAGAAUAAUUCCAUUUGAAAUCAGCA
rnacentral:antisense_RNA from 1 species